rnacentral:ncRNA from 1 species
UCAACGGUCCUUUUAAGGACCACCCACAUAAUGAUAUAAUGAUUUU